rnacentral:rRNA from 1 species
GGUUAAGCGACUAAGCGUACACGGUGGAUGCCCUGGCAGUCAGAGGCGAUGAAGGACGUGCUAAUCUGCGAUAAGCGUCGGUAAGGUGAUAUGAACCGUUAUAACCGGCGAUUUCCGAAUGGGGAAACCCAGUGUGAUUCGUCACACUAUCGUUAACUGAAUACAUAGGUUAACGAAGCGAACCGGGGGAACUGAAACAUCUAAGUACCCCGAGGAAAAGAAAUCAACCGAGAUUCCCCCAGUAGCGGCGAGCGAACGGGGAGGAGCCCAGAGCCUGAAUCAGCAUGUGUGUUAGUGGAAGCGUCUGGAAAGGCGCGCGAUACAGGGUGACAGCCCCGUACACAAAAGCGCAUGUGCUGUGAGCUCGAUGAGUAGGGCGGGACACGUGGUAUCCUGUCUGAAUAUGGGGGGACCAUCCUCCAAGGCUAAAUACUCCUGACUGACCGAUAGUGAACCAGUACCGUGAGGGAAAGGCGAAAAGAACCCCGGCGAGGGGAGUGAAAAAGAACCUGAAACCGUGUACGUACAAGCAGUGGGAGCCCCACCACCAAAGCAUUCUCUGGUGUUGAAGGCCCUGCAAAGCAGCAUCGCGGUGGCGGAGCGUCGUUUGCGACGCCCAACACACAAAACAAGCGGUGAGUGCUUUGGGGUGGGGUGACUGCGUACCUUUUGUAUAAUGGGUCAGCGACUUAUAUUCUGUAGCAAGGUUAACCGUAUAGGGGAGCCGAAGGGAAACCGAGUCUUAACUGGGCGUUAAGUUGCAGGGUAUAGACCCGAAACCCGGUGAUCUAGCCAUGGGCAGGUUGAAGGUUGGGUAACACUAACUGGAGGACCGAACCGACUAAUGUUGAAAAAUUAGCGGAUGACUUGUGGCUGGGGGUGAAAGGCCAAUCAAACCGGGAGAUAGCUGGUUCUCCCCGAAAGCUAUUUAGGUAGCGCCUCGUGAACUCAUCUUCGGGGGUAGAGCACUGUUUCGGCUAGGGGGUCAUCCCGACUUACCAACCCGAUGCAAACUGCGAAUACCGAAGAAUGUUAUCACGGGAGACACACGGCGGGUGCUAACGUCCGUCGUGAAGAGGGAAACAACCCAGACCGCCAGCUAAGGUCCCAAAGUCACAGUUAAGUGGGAAACGAUGUGGGAAGGCUCAGACAGCCAGGAUGUUGGCUUAGAAGCAGCCAUCAUUUAAAGAAAGCGUAAUAGCUCACUGGUCGAGUCGGCCUGCGCGGAAGAUGUAACGGGGCUAAACUGUGCACCGAAGCUGCGGCAGCGACGCUUAUGCGUUGUUGGGUAGGGGAGCGUUCUGUAAGCCUGCGAAGGUGUCCUGUGAGGGAUGCUGGAGGUAUCAGAAGUGCGAAUGCUGACAUAAGUAACGAUAAUGCGGGUGAAAAGCCCGCUCGCCGGAAGACCAAGGGUUCCUGUCCAACGUUAAUCGGGGCAGGGUGAGUCGACCCCUAAGGCGAGGCCGAAAGGCGUAGUCGAUGGGAAACGGGUUAAUAUUCCCGUACUUGGUGUUACUGCGAAGGGGGGACGGAGAAGGCUAUGUUGGCCGGGCGACGGUUGUCCCGGUUUAAGCGUGUAGGCUGGUUUUCCAGGCAAAUCCGGAAAAUCAAG